GAUGAACGCUGGCAGCGUGCCUAAUACAUGCAAGUCGAGCGAACAGACGAGGAGCUUGCUCCUCUGACGUUAGCGGCGGACGGGUGAGUAACACGUGGAUAACCUACCUAUAAGACUGGGAUAACUUCGGGAAACCGGAGCUAAUACCGGAUAAUAUAUUGAACCGCAUGGUUCAAUAGUGAAAGACGGUUUUGCUGUCACUUAUAGAUGGAUCCGCGCCGCAUUAGCUAGUUGGUAAGGUAACGGCUUACCAAGGCAACGAUGCGUAGCCGGCCUGAGAGGGUGAUCGGCCACACUGGAACUGAGACACGGUCCAGACUCCUACGGGAGGCAGCAGUAGGGAAUCUUCCGCAAUGGGCGAAAGCCUGACGGAGCAACGCCGCGUGAGUGAUGAAGGUCUUCGGAUCGUAAAACUCUGUUAUUAGGGAAGAACAAAUGUGUAAGUAACUAUGCACGUCUUGACGGUACCUAAUCAGAAAGCCACGGCUAACUACGUG
rnacentral:rRNA from 1 species